UACGUAGGGGCCUAGCGUUGUCCGGAUUUAUUGGGCGUAAAGAGCUCGUAGGCGGUUUGGUGAGUCGGGUGUGAAAUCUCCACGCUCAACGUGGAGGGGCCACCCGAUACUGCCAUGACUAGAGUCCGGUAGGGGAGUGUGGAAUUCCCGGUGUAGCGGUGAAAUGUGUAGAGAUCGGGAGGAACACCGGUGGCGAAGGCGGGUCUCUGGGCAUCUCCUGACGCUGAGGCGCGAAAGCGUGGGGAGCAAACGGG
rnacentral:rRNA from 1 species